AGGAUGAACGCUGGCGGCGUGCCUAACACAUGCAAGUCGAACGUCCUGUCUCGCAAGAGGCAGGGAGUGGCGGACGGGUGAGUACCACGUGGGUCAUCUACCGUGAGGUGAGGAAUACCGGCGAGAAAUCGCCGACAAGACCGCAUAGGCUCGAUGCAAGUCGAGCAAAGCUCUUUCGAGAGAGGGAGCGCCACACGAGGAGCCUGCGCCCGAUUAGCUAGCUGGUGGAGUAACGGUUCACCAGGGCGACGAUCGGUAGCUGGUCUGAGAGGACGAUCAGCCACACUGGGAUUGAGAACGGCCCAGACUCCUACGGGGGCAGCAGUGAGGAAUUUCGUCAAUGGGGGCAACCCUGAACGAGCAACGCCGCGUGCAGGAAGAAGGUUUUCGGAUCGUAAACUGCUUUUCUCGGGGAAGAGAACGGACGGUACCCGAGGAAUCAGCCCCGGCUAACUACGCGCCAGCAGCCGCGGU
rnacentral:rRNA from 1 species